CGAAAGCCUGACGGAGCAAUGCCGCGUGGGGGAGGAAGGCUCUUGGGUUGUAAACCCCUUUUCCUAGGGAAGAAGACUGACGGUACCUAGGGAAUAAGCCUCGGCUAACUCCGUGCCAGCAGCCGCGGUAAUACGGAGGAGGCAAGCGUUAUCCGGAAUUAUUGGGCGUAAAGCGUCCGCAGGCGGUCAGGCAAGUCCGCAGUUAAAGGUCGGGGCUCAACCCCGAAAGAGCUGUGGAAACUGGUUGACUAGGGUGCGACAGGGGUAGAGGGAAUUCCCAGUGUAGCGGUGAAAUGCGUAGAGAUUGGGAAGAA
rnacentral:rRNA from 1 species